AGCGAACGCUGGCGGCAGGCCUAACACAUGCAAGUCGAGCGGACCUUUCGGGGUCAGCGGCGGACGGGUGAGUAACGCGUGGGAAUAUGCCCUUCUCUACGGAAUAGUCCUGGGAAACUGGGGGUAAUACCGUAUACGCCCUUUGGGGGAAAGAUUUAUCGGGGAAGGAUUAGCCCGCGUUGGAUUAGGUAGUUGGUGGGGUAAUGGCCUACCAAGCCGACGAUCCAUAGCUGGUUUGAGAGGAUGAUCAGCCACACUGGGACUGAGACACGGCCCAGACUCCUACGGGAGGCAGCAGUGGGGAAUCUUAGACAAUGGGGGCAACCCUGAUCUAGCCAUGCCGCGUGAGUGAUGAAGGCCUUAGGGUUGUAAAGCUCUUUCAGCUGGGAAGAUAAUGACGGUACCAGCAGAAGAAGCCCCGGCUAACUCCGUG
rnacentral:rRNA from 1 species